rnacentral:rRNA from 1 species
UUAUAUAUAUUUUUUUCCCCCGUCAGACGAACGCUGGCGGCGUGCCUAAUACAUGCAAGUCGAGCGGACAGAUGGGAGCUUGCUCCCUGAUGUUAGCGGCGGACGGGUGAGUAACACGUGGGUAACCUGCCUGUAAGACUGGGAUAACUCCGGGAAACCGGGGCUAAUACCGGAUGGUUGUCUGAACCGCAUGGUUCAGACAUAAAAGGUGGCUUCGGCUACCACUUACAGAUGGACCCGCGGCGCAUUAGCUAGUUGGUGAGGUAACGGCUCACCAAGGCGACGAUGCGUAGCCGACCUGAGAGGGUGAUCGGCCACACUGGGACUGAGACACGGCCCAGACUCCUACGGGAGGCAGCAGUAGGGAAUCUUCCGCAAUGGACGAAAGUCUGACGGAGCAACGCCGCGUGAGUGAUGAAGGUUUUCGGAUCGUAAAGCUCUGUUGUUAGGGAAGAACAAGUGCCGUUCAAAUAGGGCGGCACCUUGACGGUACCUAACCAGAAAGCCACGGCUAACUACGUGCCAGCAGCCGCGGUAAUACGUAGGUGGCAAGCGUUGUCCGGAAUUAUUGGGCGUAAAGGGCUCGCAGGCGGUUUCUUAAGUCUGAUGUGAAAGCCCCCGGCUCAACCGGGGAGGGUCAUUGGAAACUGGGGAACUUGAGUGCAGAAGAGGAGAGUGGAAUUCCACGUGUAGCGGUGAAAUGCGUAGAGAUGUGGAGGAACACCAGUGGCGAAGGCGACUCUCUGGUCUGUAACUGACGCUGAGGAGCGAAAGCGUGGGGAGCGAACAGGAUUAGAUACCCUGGUAGUCCACGCCGUAAACGAUGAGUGCUAAGUGUUAGGGGGUUUCCGCCCCUUAGUGCUGCAGCUAACGCAUUAAGCACUCCGCCUGGGGAGUACGGUCGCAAGACUGAAACUCAAAGGAAUUGACGGGGGCCCGCACAAGCGGUGGAGCAUGUGGUUUAAUUCGAAGCAACGCGAAGAACCUUACCAGGUCUUGACAUCCUCUGACAAUCCUAGAGAUAGGACGUCCCCUUCGGGGGCAGAGUGACAGGUGGUGCAUGGUUGUCGUCAGCUCGUGUCGUGAGAUGUUGGGUUAAGUCCCGCAACGAGCGCAACCCUUGAUCUUAGUUGCCAGCAUUCAGUUGGGCACUCUAAGGUGACUGCCGGUGACAAACCGGAGGAAGGUGGGGAUGACGUCAAAUCAUCAUGCCCCUUAUGACCUGGGCUAC